UAUCUAUCUGGUUUCGAAGGAAGGAGGAAGGAGGGUAUGGAAUGAGGUAUUGAAUGAGGACAGCGUGCCACUGGAUGGGGAGAAGGAGCAGCUGGUGAUGAAGGUCUUCUGUUUGCCACUGUGGAUUAGGAAUAGGGGCCGUCAGAAGGGAAGUGACUACUACCCCGUGUCUCUUUUCCAUUUCCUGAUGUUCUCUGUGAAUGUUCUAUGCAGCAAGAAGGUUCUGAGAGUCAGAGUCUUAGCAGGCUGGGGAAUGAGUGAGGAGCCCAGGGAAUGUCUGGCGUGGAAAGAAAGCAGAAAUCAUUGGUCAUAUCCUGUAUCCCGCAGAAUUCUUCUGAGGAAAUAAGACAUGAUGAAUGGAUCAACAUCCUAACCUCCACUUCCCAUUUUCCUCCUAUCCCAGAAGUGCUUUUUUUUUUUUUUUUAAAUCUUUCUUGACUGGGUAUUAUCCAGUUCUUCUUCAAAGAGGUUCAACCAAUUCACAUUCCACUCACAGCAUGAAAGAGUUGCUGUUCCAGAGCUGUAUUGCUGUGUGCCGUCUCCUGAUGUCUUCUAUAGGAUAUUUACUUCUGUAUUCACAAGUGACAUUAACCUUUUCUUUACCCUGGCCUGAUUUGGGGGAUGAAGAAGCCAAUCUGUGAGUCUAGGACGGAGACGUAAUAGUAACCCUAGGAUAUAUCGAGCUGUUUGCUUCUCGUUAACACCAGAAGCUGGGAACACGGUGAAAAGGGCACAAUGAAGAGGUGGUGGUGGGGGGUG